rnacentral:rRNA from 1 species
UACGUAGGGUGCAAGCGUUGUCCGGAAUUAUUGGGCGUAAAGAGCUCGUAGGCGGUCUGUCACGUCGGAUGUGAAAAUCCAGGGCUUAACCCUGGACCUGCAUUCGAUACGGGCAGACUAGAGUUCGGUAGGGGAGACUGGAAUUCCUGGUGUAGCAGUGAAAUGCGUAGAGAUCAUGAGGAAGACCAGUGGCGAAGGCGGGUCUCUGGACAGUUCCUGACACUGAGACACGAAGGCCAGGGGAGCAAACGGG